UGGGGAAUAUUGCACAAUGGGCGCAAGCCUGAUGCAGCCAUGCCGCGUGUUUGAAGAAGGCCUUCGGGUUGUAAAGCACUUUCAGCGGGGAGGAAGGCGUUAAGGUUAAUAACCUUGGCGAUUGACGUUACCCGCAGAAGAAGCACCGGCUAACUCCGUGCCAGCAGCCGCGGUAAUACGGAGGGUGCCAGCGUUAAUCGGAAUUACUGGGCGUAAAGCGCACGCAGGCGGUCUGUCAAGUCGGAUGUGAAAUCCCCGGGCUCAACCUGGGAAAUGCAUUCGAAACUGGCAGGCUAGAGUCUUGUAGAGGGGGGUAGAAUUCCAGGUGUAGCGGUGAAAUGCGUAGAGAUCUGGAGGAAUACCGGUGGCGAAGGCGGCCCCCUGGACAAAGACUGACGCUCAGGUGCGAAAGCGUGGGGAGCAAACAGG
rnacentral:rRNA from 1 species